rnacentral:tRNA from 1 species
GCCUCCUUAGCUCAGCCGGUAGAGCAACUGACUUGUAAUCAGUAGGUCGUUGGUUCGAUUCCGACAGGGGGCU